UACGAGGGGGGCAAGCGUUGUUCGGAAUUAUUGGGCGUAAAGGGUGCGUAGGCGGUUUGACAAGUCAUCUGUGAAAUCUAUGGGCUCAACCCAUAGUCUGCAGGCGAAACUGUCGGGCUUGAGUAUUGGAGAGGUGAGUGGAAUUUCCGGUGUAGCGGUGAAAUGCGUAGAUAUCGGAAGGAACACCUGUGGCGAAAGCGGCUCACUGGACAAUAACUGACGCUGAUGCACGAAAGCUAGGGGAGCAAACAGG
rnacentral:rRNA from 2 species